CAGUAGCCACGGUAAUACGAAGGGUGCAAGCGUUACUCGGAAUUACUGGGCGUAAAGCGUGCGUAGGUGGUGGUUUAAGUCCGUUGUGAAAGCCCUGGGCUCAACCUGGGAAUUGCAGUGGAUACUGGGUCACUAGAGUGUGGUAGAGGAUAGUGGAAUUUCCGGUGUAGCAGUGAAAUGCGUAGAGAUCGGAAGGAACAUCUGUGGCGAAGGCGACUAUCUGGGCCAACACUGACACUGAGGCACGAAAGCGUGGGGAGCAAACAGGAUUAGAUACCCUCGUAGUCCCUGUCUCUUAUAC
rnacentral:rRNA from 1 species